rnacentral:lncRNA from 1 species
GAAAAAAAUGAUUCUUGACAAAAGCACAAAGAAAGAAGAGAAGCAGAAGAUGAUGAUGGGGCAUGUUUGUAUGUGUGUGGGUGUGCGUGAAAGAGAGAGAGAAUAAGAGAGAGAAGGAGAAGAAAGAGCAAAAAGAGGGCCCACAAAUUUUUUAAGGUGAAAUAACAAAAAAACCCCUCCAUUAAGCAUGUGUAUCGCACGUGCAUUGGAAAAUUAGAAGAUUCGCCGGAAUAUUCCUCCUAGGUGGUUAUGUGCGUCAAAAAAGUGAGUUUGCGUGUGUCCGUGCAACUUUUUUUAGUUAAGGUGGUAAAGUGCGAAAACGGGCAAAGUUCAGGUGGCGAAAUGCUAUUA